CUCGUAGACGAGGUCCGGAAGCGAAGCCACAACCGAAGUUAGACUGUGACCUCUGCCUGGCUGUCUUCUUCUUCGUCCUCCUCUUCAUCUUCAUCCUCAUCCUCGUCAUCCUCCUGUAUUCUUGUUUUGCUUUUUGAGACAGGGGACUUGCUGUGCGACUCUGGCUGGCCUGGCACCCUCUCUAUAGACCAGUUUGUCCUUGAACUCACAAAAACCACCUGUCUCCAAAAUGCUGAGCUAACAGAGCUCUGCACCACCAUACUGACUUAUCUAGAAAUCUCUUUAACCCAGGGCAUGUCAAUCGAAUGCUCUACCACUGAGCUACCCUGUGAGCCUCCGAAUCUUCAUCUUAUUUCACCCAUCGCCCACCCAUGAGACCUGACAAUAUGAGACAGGAGUGAUACCUUUUAACCCAGACAGAAAAGUGGAUGCGGGAGCCCUCCUGCACACUGGAGUGGAGCCGUGGGGCCAGAGGGGAAGGCAGGCAGCAAGCAUGGCCCAGCAGAGACACCAUCAGAGUCUCUCAUCUCAAGGCUUACUGUCCUGUGGGGCUACCCAGCUCCCCGCUUCAGCUUCAACCCUUCAACCUACUGUUAAGACCCUAGCUGCCCUCUCCCUGCCUCUGGAAACCUAAAAAGGAACUAUCCUCCCAAGUCAGGCAGAAAGGGUUGGUGGCAGUCCUUCCCAGCUGACAGUUCCUCUUCCUCCCCCACGUGCAGAGUUCCAGGAGACCAUAAGACAGAUGGAGGGGUAGGAUUAGUACCUUUCAGUGACGGGGGAGUAUAGGCACAGGGGUUGGGUCUCUUCGACUUUGGGUGGUGCCCCUCUCCAGAGGUUCUCUACAGGAAAGAAGCAGUUGAGACAGGCUCCCCAGAUACCCUUCCCUUUCCGCUCCCUCCAGUGGGACAACUGACUUGGACAGCUGACAGAGCACAGGACACCUAGGACAUCUAGGCAAAGCCCCUACCCCCAUUAGCAGAAGCCUGACUCAGAGCAGGACCCUCUCUUGGUCGUGGACACCCCACAUCAGCCCCGCCCCACUAAGAGAGAGGGUGACACUAGAACAGGAUCUUUCCUGGGAAAUGCAGUUGACACGCCAAUAUGUCCUGUGGUGGACUAGGUUGGCUCUGCAGAUAUCAGUCUACCGCACCCCAGAGGGCCCAGCUAAGUGUUCUUCCAGCUGCCCCAGGAAACUCACCUGAUGUGGAGAGGCUUCCUCCUCUGAGAAAGACCAUCAGGCCCACGGCCCACGGCAACCAUGAUCAAGGAGGAAGAGAAAAAGAAUAAGGUUACUUUCUCCAAAGCCUCAGUCUCCGGGACGGCAAAAGUGUGCCCUUCCCUCCUGGUGCCAACAGGUGCCAAGAGGAUAAACCAACCCAGCUCUGUUGGCGUUCC
ensembl:processed_transcript 1700003D09Rik RIKEN cDNA 1700003D09 gene